rnacentral:rRNA from 1 species
GACGAACGCUGGCGGCGUGCUUAACACAUGCAAGUCGAGCGGACAGGCCCUGCUUUUGUUGGUUGCUCGAGUGGCGAACAGGUGAGUAACACGUGAGUAACCUGCCCUUGACUUUGGGAUAACUUCUGGAAACUGGGGCUAAUACCGGAUAGGAGCUCCUGCUGCACGGUGGGGGUUGGAAAGUUUCGGCGGUUGGGGAUGGACUCGCGGCUUAUCAGCUUGAUGGUGUGGUAGUGGCUUACCAAGGCUUUGACGGGUAGCCGGCCUGAGAGGGUGACCGGCGACAUUGGGACUGAGAUACGGCGCAGACGCCUACGGGAGGCAGCAGUGGGGAAUAUUGCACAAUGGGCGGAAGCCUGAUGCAGCAACGCCGCGUGCGGGAUGACGGCCUUCGGGUUGUAAACCGCUUUCGCCUGUGACGAAGCGUGAGUGACGGUAAUGGGUAAAGAAGCACCGGCUAACUACGUG